AGCCCCCUCCUGCGUGUGUGAGUGCUGACCUCUGCUUCUGUCUGACCUCUGGAGGGGAGAAGGUAGCUUCCCACUCACUACAGCUCAUAUGAAUCAAGGUGCUCUGUGUCGCAGCAUCCGUUCAAGUGAACGUCGCCUCUCCUGAACUCCUGGUUCUGUCCUUCGGUGUGCGGUCUGCCUCCCUUUCUGUCUCUGUCUCUGUCUGCCUGUCUGUCUCUCCCUUUCCUUGUCUUCAGCUUUUGGCUUGUCAUACCUUUUAACAUACACCAACGUGGCAAGGCUCCUCUGCAGCAGGAUGGGAAGAGUUAGGGGCUGCAAAAUUCAGAAGGAAUUUCUACAUCUGAGGACUAACACCAGCACAGGGCCCCCGUUUUCUGCAUAAGAGAUUGGCUAUGAGAGAAGGCUGACGGCUGCUGCAUGAAGUGCAUAUUGUUACCUCGUGAUACUGUGACCCUCCUCUAUGCAUCUCUAACUCUCCAAAGCUGAUUCAGCUUUCAGCUACUGCUCUGGUGACACAACUGCUGUAACAGAAUCUCUGAUCCGCAUCGCCACUCUGGCCACAUUGUUAGGGGAGGUUUAAAGCUCAGCCCCGGAAUGACUGUGCAGCAGACAGAGAAAGACAGAGGCGGAGAAAGGGCGACUGAAAGCAAAGGAUGGGACGUAAAAUCACGAGGGGGCCAAGCUGGUUCUCUGUACAGCCUCUUGAAUUUUUUAUUGGUGGGGAACCCUCACUGUCUAACAGCGACUUGCAAGUGAACUGUCAGUGAUGGCAACAGAUGUGUGCCAGGGCAGCGCCAAGUCUGAAAGUGCACGCACCCUGCAAUCAAGAAAUGAUCCUGGGACCACCAAUCCAAAAAAUUUGACUUCUACCACCCUAAUAUAUGGAAUUUGCACUUUAACAUAGGGAUAUCCUUCUAUUCUGAGACUGUGCACUCUGGUCUUAGACUCUCCCACUAUAGGAUGGAAGCAUCCGGUCCAAGCCCAGCCUUGCUGUAUUCAAUAGGUUUCAAUGAGAACUCCCUUCAUUCUUCUCAACUACAGUGAGUACAGGACAAAGCCACGUACACCUCUGAAGGCAGUGACUCGAAGCAGCAGCCCUUCCGAUGGCAGCGACUCCAACCAGCAGCCAAAUGUCGUGCAAUUUGUUAACUUUGCAACAGCAGUACAAUGCAAUACAUGAUCAUUUAGAAAAAUACCUGUGAUUUACAGUGUGUAUAUAUAUCCAUCCAAAUCAGGUGGCAGAGGGAAAGAAGCCCUUGCUGAAUCAUUGAAUGGGCACCUUCAGGCUCCUGCACCUCCUUCCUGAUGAUAACAAUGCAAAGAGGUCAUGUCCUGGGUGGUGGGGGUCCUUAAUGAUAGAUGCCACCUUUUUGAGACAUUGCUCCUUGAAGAUGUUCUGGAUACUACAGAGGGCAGUGCCCAUGAUGGAGCUGAAUAAGUUUACAACUUUCUGCAGCUUAUCCUGUACAGCAGCUCUCCAUACCAGAGUGUGAUGCAGCCAAUUAGAAUAUUCUGCAUGGUACAUCUUUAGAAACUCGCGAGUGUUUUAGGUGACACACCAAAUCUCCACAAGCUCCUAAUAAAAUAUGGCUGCCAUCUUGCCUUCUUUAUAGAAUGAGAAAAGCUGGAACUGGUGAAUCCUGUGCCUAUUUGAAAAACAUCAAAAAUAAUCCUCUUUCACAAAUCAAGUUGGUUUGUUUGUUCACCAGGGAUCCAUGCAUGUAGGAAAUAUGGACUCGCGAAUCAAUGUUAUCUCUGACUAGUGCUAUGUUGAACCAUUGUUCCUGUUUGGUGCUCACUGAUUGGUGAAUAUAUCCUGGUUUUUGUUGUUCAGUCAUUAUAAUCGAGUACGACUCUUUGUGAUCUCAUGGACCAUAUGGUCCAUAGGGUUUUCAUAGCAAUAUACGGAGGUAGAUUGCCAGGCGUUUCGUCUGUGCAGAUUUUGCUGCUGCCCAGGUUGGCACCCGGCUCCAGACCACCUGCCUUGAAGACCAGUGCUGAUGCCACUACCCCACCAGCUGGCUCCAUAUCCUGGUUUACUCUAGCUAACAACGUUGGGAAUGUCACAUUUGUACCGGUUGCCAGACUCCUAUAAUGAAAGAUCAUACGGGCCUUUUCAAGUUAAAACACUCUCGUUUGAGAACAGUCAGCCCCACUACACAUGAGGUGGAUUGUACAUUGUCCAUAAGACCAUAAGAUAUAGGCGUAGAAUUAGGCCAUUUGGCCCAUCGAGCCUGCUGUACUAUUCCAACAUGACUGAUCCAUUUCCUCUCACACUUAACUUCCUGCCUUCUCCCCUGCCCAAUCAAGAGUCUAUCAACCUCUGCCUUAAAUAUACAUAAAGACUUGGCCUUCACAGCUGCCUGUGGCAGAGAAUUCCACAGAUUCGCCACCGUCUGGUUGAAGAAAUUCCUCCUCAUCUCCAUUCUAAAAGGAUGCCGCUGUGUUCUGGGACUGUGUCCUUUGGUCUUAGACUUUCCCACCAUAGGAAACAACCUCUCCACAUCCACACUAUCAAGGCCUUUUACCAUUUGAUUGGGUUUCAAUGAGGUCACCCCUCAUUCUUCUGAAUUUCAGUAAAUAAAGGCCCAGAGUCACCAAACAUCCUUCAUAUGUCAAGUGAUUCAACCCUGGAAUCAUUUCCAUGAACAUCCUUUGAACCCUCUCCAGUUUCAGCACCCCCUUUCCAAGAUAAGGGGCCCAAAACUACUCACAAUGCUCCAAGUAAGACCUCACCAGUGCUUUAUGAAGUCUCACCAUUAUGUCCUUGCUUCUGUAUUCUAGUCCUUUUGAAAUGAGUGCUAACAUUGUAUUUGCCUUCAUCACCACAGACUCAACGUGCAAAUUAACUUUUAGGGAUUCCUGCACAUGGACUCACUCCCAAGUCCCUUUGCACCUGAGUUUUUUGUAUUUUCUCUCCAUUUAGACAAUAGUUAACCCUUUCAUUUCUUCUACCUCAGUGCAUGACGAUACCCUUUCUGACACUGUAAUCCAUCUGGCAUUUCUUUGCCCAUUUUCCUAAUUUGUCCUUCUGUAUCCUCUCUACUUCCUCAAAACUAUCUGGCCCUCCACCUGUCUUCAUAUCAUUUGCAAACUUUGCAUAAAGUCAUCAAUUCCAUCUGCAAAUCAUUGAUAUAUAACGUAAAAAGAACCGGUCCCAACAUAGAACUCUGUGGAGUAGAACUAGUCACCGGAAGUUAGCUAGAAAAGGCUCCCUUUAUUCCCACUCUUUGCCUCCUGCCUAUCAGCCACUGCUUUAUGCAUGCUAGAAUCUUUCCUGUAAUACCAUGGGCUUGUAUCUUGUUAAGCAGCCUCAUAUGUGGCACCUGGUCAAAGGCUUUCUGAAAAUCCAAAUACACAACAUCCACUGAUUCUCCUUUGUCCAUUCUGCUUAUUAUUUCUUCAAAGAAUUUUGACAGAUUUGCCAGGCAAGAUUUUCCCUUGAGGAAACCAUGCUGAUUACUGCCUAUUUUAUCAUAUGCCUCCAAGUAUGCUGAGACCUCAUCCUUAACAAUCGACUCUAAAAUCUUCCCAACCACUGAGGUCAGACUAACUGGCCUAUGGUUUCCUUUCUUCUGCCUCUCUCCCUUCUUGAUGAAGUGGAGUGACAUUUUCAAUUUCCUGUCUUCCAGAACCUUUCCAAUCUGUCGCUGCUGAAAUCUGCAGGCCCACAAAAUCAUUGUUCAUUAAGUUCAGUUUGUUUUAAAGUUACAAUGAAUUUUCCAACUCUCUGUAUUAACAGUGCCUCAGAUUUAGAUUGCCUCCAUAGCUUGGUAAAACUACAGACUACAUUUACAAUGCAACAGACCUUCCAGUAAUACUUCAAAUUAUGGAAGCAGCAGAACUGAAUAUGAUUCAUGAUGUGUCAGAAUAUUAAAACAAGGAAAAAAUGCACUUUGUUAACAAAAUCUGACUGUAUCAUCUCAUCUGUAAUGACCCACGUUAGGGCUUGUCAAGGAUAAGAAAUGUUAUUUUUACCUGCAUAUGUAGGCUAGAUACUUGGUAGUUUUAUUUAAAAAACUCUCAACACGAACCAAAAGUAACUGACAACAGUAACUACCCACGACAGAAUCCACAUACUCUAGGACACGUUUUAAUUCACAAUGGAUGAGUUUCAGUAAAACAGUUUGGUUUCAUGACAGCUCGGUACGUGACAGUAGAGCAGCGGUUAGCACAACACUAUUACAACUUGGAGGGGUUGGAGUUCAGAGUUCAUUUUCAGCACCAUCAGUAAGGAGUUUGUACAUUCUCCCCGUGACUAGUGAGCCGGACAGCUGCUCUGGUUUCCUCCCACAGUCCAAAGACGCACCAAUUAGUAGGUUAAUUGGUCAUUGUAAAUUGUCCUGUGAUUAGGCUAUUUUUAAAUAGGUGGGUUGGUGGGGUCCAGAGAGGGGCGGUUGUGGUGUGAACAUAUAAGGGCUAUAAGGGCCUGUCCCACGCUUUAAAAGCUAUUUACAAUACAGUGGAGAGUAUCCCACCUUAUAAUCAAAUUUGCAAUUCUUUCCAGAUUCUUGCCUGGGUAGUGAAGACAAAUAUCUAUUUCUUUUUUUUUGCAUCUAUGGUAGCGCAAUUUGUUACACACCAAGCAACAGGAGGUAACAUUCUGCUAAGAUAAAGAAGGAAGAGAAUCAGUCAUUAUCUUGUAUUCUGAAUCUUAUUGUCUUUGGAUUGGUUUUAAGCAGAUACAAUCACUUGUUUUAAUCUAUUUAGAUCAAUUCUCCAGAGAUGCCGUCCUUAAAACAACACCUUCAGUUAUAAGUCAGUAAAGUUGGCUCAAAGAAAUUCAACCCAUCUAUAUAAAAAAAUUAUAAGAUUUCCACUAGCAAUUAAUUGAAUCUUUUUAAAUUUAAUUCCUAAUUAUAGCACUGAACCUACAAAAUGAUUUAUUUGAUCCACUAGAAACUUCUAUAAAAUAUUACUUUAACAAUAGAAUAUAACUUAUGAGCAAAUGGGUCAAGAAAUCUGAAAAUUUACUAGAGAGAGAAAAAUACGAAAAUACUUGAUAAGAGAUAUUUUAUUUCAUCAGCGAAAUAUUUCAUUCACUAAAUUAAGCUAAUGAUACAAAGAUCUAAGAGUUGUACAUAAGCCAAGAUAAUCAGCUGACACUAAAUAAAAAUUAUGAUGACCUGAUCUUUAAGCUCACAGUGGAAGGGAAUCAUUUGAUCACAAUGUUAUUCUGGGCUCUGCACAUGCACUGCCCCAUUCCAAUGUCACUCGGUGUCUGAGACUUUCUGUGGGGAUUUCUGGCAUUUAGGAACAUCGAUGUCCUCAAGCUGGCUGAGCAUUCCAAACAGAUAGCAAACAAGAAAAUAAAAAGGAACAACUGAUAUGAUGUUUACAAUACAGUAUUUUGUGGAUAGAAAACAUCAAGAUAUCAUACACAAAGAGGAAGCUAAUACAGUAAUAUAAAUAAACUUUAUAUGAGAGUUUGAAAGAAAUUCAAAAAUUUAGACUCCACACCUGGGGAUUUAGUCUUCUAAGACCAGAGAAGAGUUUCCACAAUAAUGCAAGUUCAAAGUAAAUGUUAUUAUCAAAGUACAUAUAUGUUACCGUACACAACCCUGAGAUUCAGUUUUUGCAGGUAUACUUAACAAAUCUAUAAAAUAACAACUAUAACAGAAUCAAUGAACGACCAUCCAACUAUGGGUUUCAAUCAGAGUGCAGAAGACAACAAACUAUGUAAAUACAAAAAUGAAGAAAUAAUAAUAAAUAAAUAAGCAAUAAAUAUUGAGAACAUGAGACGAAGAGUCCUUGGAAAGUGAGUCCAGUUUGUUGUAGGAACAUCUCAACGAUGGGGCAAGUGAAGUUGAAUUAAGUUAUUCCCUUUGUUUCAAGAGCCUGAUGUUAAGUGGUAAUAACGAUUCCUGAUCCUGAUGGUGUGAGUCUUAAGGUUCUCAUACCUACUUUUUGGUGGCAGCAGUGAAAAGGGUGUAUGUUCUAUGUGGUGGGCGUCCCUGUUGAUGGAUGCUGCUUUCCUGCAAUAGUGUUUCACGUAGACUUGCUCAAGGGACUAAGCCAUAUCCACUACAUUUUUGUAGGAUUUUCUGUUCAAGGGCAUUGGUGUUUCCAUACCAGGCUAUGAUACAGCCGGUCAUUAAAUCUAAAUAUACCAAUAAAACUUAUUUGUACUUCUCAAACAGGAUUUCAAAUUUUCAGUAUUUUUUAAACAAGAAUACUGAAAGGGAUUUUAAAAUUUGUGUCAAAUCACUGGUUCUAUAUUAAUGGUGAUUCUGAAUAUUAUAGAGAAGCAAUAUAUUACUGACAAUCUUUUCCAGAUUCACAUAAGUUGCAACAUAUGAACAAUGCUAAGAACUGCUGUGUGUUUUACAGGAAAUAAUGGGUGAGGAAAAAUAUAUGGCCUUAUGGUCUUAUAUAGUCAGCUUCAAUACAGGCACAAUUUUCAGACAAAUAUUAUUACAAAAACAUACAGAUUAUAUAAGGUGCAGCAGAUUUGUAUACAGCUGUGGUCAUGAUCAGCAAGAAGAUAAUUCACACAACAGUAAGUAAAUCAAUUAUGGUUCACAUGCGACACAUACAGGUCAGGCAGCAUCUAUGGAAAGGAACAAACCUUCGAUGUUUCGGGACAAAACCCUUCUUCAGAACUGAGAGGAAGGGGGAAGAUGCCAGUAUAAGAAUGUUGCCGGGAGUGGAAGAAGGCUAGCUGAAAGGUGAUAAGUGAAGCCAGGUGGGAGAGAAAGGAAGGAGGCUGGAGAAAAUAGAAUCUGAUAGGAGUGGAAAGUGGACCACAGCAGAAGGGGAAGGAGGAGAGGAGCCGGGGGAAGUAAUAGGCAGGUGAGGAAUUUAUUUACCUGAAAGAGAAAUUGAUCUUCAUACUAUCAGGUUGGAGGGUACCCAGACGGAAUAGAAGGUGUUGCUCCUCCACCCUGAGGGUGGCCUCAUCUUGGCACAAGAGAACUGACACAUUGGAAUAGGAAUGGAAAUUGGAAUUAAAUUAUUUGGCCUCAUGGAAUAGCUAAUGUUGUGCCUUUAUUUUAAAAUGCUGCAGAGAUAAGUCAGGGAAGUACAUGCUAGUGAGCAUUUCCUCAGUGAUGGGAUUCAUAGGAGAGGAUUCUAAGAGACAGGAUUUAUUUGCAUUUGGAAAGGUAGGAGCUGAAAAGGGAUAGUCAGCAUUGCAUGGGAAAUCAUGUCUCAUGACUUUGAGCAGCCAGUGACUCAUGGCAACAGUGGUGUGCAGAAGAGCAUCUCUGAAUAUACAAUAUGUUGAACUUUGAAGUGAUUGGACUACAAUAGAAGACCAUUGAACAUACACCCAGUAGCACUUUAUUAGGUACAGGACAUAGCUAAUAAACUGGCCACUGACUGUAGAUCGAUUAGAAAAGUAAACGAGUGAAUUGCGGAUGGGAUUUAACUGAAACAAGUAUGAAGUGAUGCAUUUGGAAAAUUAAGCAACGCAGAACAUAAACUGUGAAUGAUAGGGUUCUGAGGAGUUUUGUUAACAGAAGUACCUUAGGGAACAAGUAGGUAGUUCCCUGAAAUUGGUAUACAGCACAGAAUAGGCCCUUCAAGUCAAGUCAAGUCUAUUCAAGUCACUUUUUAUUGUCAUAACUGCUGGUAGAGUACACAGUAAAAACGAGAUAAUGUUUUUCAGGACCAUGGUGCUACAAGAACAAUACAAAAACUACACUAAACUAGGUAAAAAAACAACACAAAACUACACUACACUACAGACCUACCCAGGACUGCAUAAAGUGCACAAAACAGUGCAGGCAUUACAAUAAACAAUAAACAAGCUGCUCUGCCCAGAAACCCACAAUACAACCUUAGUCUGAUCACAAAACAAUUUACAAUGACCAGAAUCACAAUCAGGUUUAUUAUCACUGGCAUGUGAUAUGAAAUUUGUUAACUUAGCAGCAUCAGUUCAACGUAAUACAUAAUAUAGAAGAGAAAAAAAGUAAGUAAAAUAGAAAUAAUCAAUCAUUCAAUCAAUUACAGUAUAUGUAUUUAUUGAAUAGAUUAAGAAAUGUACAGAAAAAAACAGAAAUACAGUAUAUUAAAAAAAGUGAGGUAGUGUCCAAGGGUUCAAUGUCCAUUUAGUAAUCGGAUGGCAGAGGGGAAGAAGCCGUUCCUCUAUCGCUGAGUGUGUGCCUUCAGGCUUCUAUACCUCCUACCUGAUGGUAACAGUGAGAAAAGGACAUGCCCAGGCUGCUGGGGGUCCUUAAUAAUGGACGCUGCCUUUCUGAGCACCGCUCCCUGAAGGUGUCCUGGGUACUUUGUAGGCUAGUACCCAAGAUGGAGCUGACUAGAUUUAUAACCCUCUGCAGCUUCUUUCGGUCCUGUGCAGUAGCCCCCCGCCCCAUACCAGACAGUGAUACAACCUGUCAGAAUGUUUCCCACAGUAUAUCUAUAGAAGUUUUUGAGUGUAUUUAUUGAUGUGCCAAAUCUCUUCAAACUCCUAAUAAGGUAUAGCCGCUGUCUUUUCUUCUUUAUAACUACAUCGAUAUGUUAGGUCCAGGUUAGAUCCUCAGAGAUCUUGACACCCAGGAACUUGAAACUGCUCACUCUCUCCACUUCUGAUCCCUCUUUGAGGAUUGAUGUAUGUUCCUUCAUCUUACCCUUCCUGAAGUCCACAAUUAGCUCUUUCGUCUUAGUGCAUUGAGUGCCAGGUUGUUGCUGUGGCACCACUCCACUAUCUGCACUCUCGUCACCACCUGAGACCACCUGAAUGGUACGUCUUUGGACUGUAGGAGGAAACCAGAGCACCUGGAGGAAAUCCACGUGGUCACGGGGAGAACAUACAAACACCUUACAGACAGCGGUGGGAGUUGAAGCUAGGUUUCUGGUACUGCAAAGCAUUGUGCUAACCACUAUGCUAAUGCAGGUAGACAAGGUGGUGCAGAAGGCACAACACGUCAAUUGAAGCAUUGAGUAUAAAAGUUGGGACAUCUUGUUCCAAUUGGUCAAGACCUUAGGCAGGCUAGAGUUGUGGUGGGUCUGCUCACACACUGCAAGAUAAAACAAUUAAGCUGGAAAUAUUGCAGAAAAGAUACACAAAGAAAUUGCUUGUAUUAUUGGAUUUAUAAAUAGAGAUUGGAUUGACUGAGUCUAUUUUCCUUGGAGCAAAGGACUAUGGAUAGGGAUAGAGAGGUAACACAAUAGAGGCAUUUAAAGUUGUGACAUGCAUAGAUGGGGUAGAUUGCCAGAGACUGUUUUCCAAGGUAGGGACAACUAAAACUAGAGGACGUAGGUUAUGGUGAAAGGGAAGAAUUUUAAAAGUGAUCUGAGGGGUAAAUUUUACACACAUGGAGUUGGUAUCUGGAAUGAGCUGCUAGAGGCAGGAACAAUAACAACAUUUAUGAGGCAUCAGGACAUAUUUGAAUGAGCAGGGCACAGAGGAUAUAGAAGAGUUAGGCAUGAUAGUCAACAUAGAUAUGUAAAGGUACAUUGACCCAACGAGUUUAUGUUGUACAACUCUAUGACAUUUAUUAAACAGGGAAAUUCCAUCACUUCCAGUUAUGAACACAAAUAUUUACCACACAAUAUAGGAUCAUUUUGAUGUCGACAUUCAGUGGCACAUUGUUAGAUAAAGGAGGUAUUUUGUGCUCUUCUGCCUCUGUAGCUCAUCCACUUCAAGGUUCAGCGUGUUUUGUGUUCUUCUGCACACCACUGUUGUAAUGCAUGGUUAUUUGAGUUACUGUUACCUUCCUGUCAAGUCCAACCAGUUUGCCCUUUCUCCUCUGACCUCUCUCAUUCUCACAGCAUUUUUGCCCACUGAGCUGCCACUCAUUGGAUUUUUUUUUGUUUAGAUCACUUUUCUUCCCCUUUCUGAUGUUUACUCUGAACAACAACUGAAUCCCUUGACCAUGCUUGCAUGUUUUUAGCAUUGAGUUGCUACCAUAUGAAUGGCUGAUUAGAUAUUCUCAGUAACAAGCAGGUGUACAGGUGUACCCAAUAAAGUGGCCACUGAGAAAGAUGGAAGGCUCAAGUUUUCCAUUAAGACAUCUAAUCAUUUUACUUUCAGACAAAGGAGAUUGCUUUUAACCAAAUUGACUUAAUUCAGAUUUAGAUACAUAUUGUACAUAAACGGUUUAUUACUAAGGAAGUGGAGUCUGAUAAAUUAUAUUGUAUUUUUUAUGUGUUAAUAAAUUAUACUGGAUACACACAUAAUUUCUUAUUUGGUAUCUGUAAUACAAUACUCAUAUGUGUAUUUUUCUGGAAUAAAUUAAAGAUAAUUGAAUAAUCGACUUAAAACAACACUUUGAAAAGCCAUCUCUCCUCUUAAAGGUUUUUACAUGACAUUACCUAGACAAAAGCAACUGAAAGUUUGCAUUAAAUACUAUUCUACAGUUUAAAAUGGGGUAAAAAAAUUU